CGACGCCGCGUGCGGGAUGAAGGCCUUCGGGUUGUAAACCGCUUUCAGUAGGGAAGAAGCGAAGUGACGGUACCUACAAAAGAAGCACCGGCUAACUAUGUGCCAGCAGCCGCGGUAAUACAUAGGGUGCAAGCGUUGUCCGGAAUUAUUGGGCGUAAAGAGCUCGUAGGUCGUUUGUUACGUCGGAUGUGAAAAUCUGAGGCUCAACCUCAGACCUGCAUUCGAUACGGGCAAACUAGAGUUUGGUAGGGGAGACUGGAAUUCCUGGUGUAGCGGUGGAAUGCGCAGAUAUCAGGAGGAACACCAACGGCGAAGGCAGGUCUCUGGGCCAAUACUGACACUGAGGAGCGAAAGCGCGGGGAGCGAACAGGAUUAGAUACCCUGGUAGUCCGCGCCGUAAACGGUGGGUACUAGUUGUGGGAACCUUCCACGGUUUCUGCGACGACGCUAACGCAUUAAGUACCCCGCCUGGGGAGUACGAUCGCAAGAUUAAAACUCAAAGGAAUUGACGGGGCCCCGCACAAGCAGCGGAGCAUGCGGCUUAAUUCGACGCAACGCGAAGAACCUUACCAAGGCUUGACAUAUAGAGAAAAGUGGCAGAGAUGUCAUGUCCGCCAGGGCUCUAUACGGUGGUG
rnacentral:rRNA from 1 species